rnacentral:rRNA from 1 species
CGGCAUGCCUUACACAUGCAAGUCGAACGGUAACAGGUCUUCGGACGCUGACGAGUGGCGAACGGGUGAGUAAUACAUCGGAACGUGCCCAGUCGUGGGGGAUAAUUACUCGAAAGAGUAGCUAAUACCGCAUACGAUCUGAGGAUGAAAGCGGGGGACCUCCGGGCCUCGCGCGAUUGGAGCGGCCGAUGGCAGAUUAGGUAGUUGGUGGGAUAAAAGCUUACCAAGCCGACGAUCUGUAGCUGGUCUGAGAGGACGACCAGCCACACUGGGACUGAGACACGGCCCAGACUCCUACGGGAGGCAGCAGUGGGGAAUUUUGGACAAUGGGCGAAAGCCUGAUCCAGCAAUGCCGCGUGCAGGAUGAAGGCCUUCGGGUUGUAAACUGCUUUUGUACGGAACGAAAAAGCUUCUCCUAAUACGAGAGGCCCAUGACGGUACCGUAAGAAUAAGCACCGGCUAACUACGUGCCAGCAGCCGCGGUAAUACGUAGGGUGCGAGCGUUAAUCGGAAUUACUGGGCGUAAAGCGUGCGCAGGCGGUUAUGUAAGACAGAUGUGAAAUCCCCGGGCUCAACCUGGGAACUGCAUUUGUGACUGCAUGGCUAGAGUACGGUAGAGGGGGAUGGAAUUCCGCGUGUAGCAGUGAAAUGCGUAGAUAUGCGGAGGAACACCGAUGGCGAAGG